UCUUUCGUGUAACGUCAAAUGUCCAACUCGGUGUCGCGUAGCCAUGCCCGCAUCUCUGGUCCUAGGUCGAAGAGGCUGGCUUCCGAGGGUGGUCCAUAUAAGGGGCAGAUGUUGAUUAUAUGGUCGGCGGUCUGCUCAGGACAUCUUAACCAAG